GGAGAUGACGUGCCUUGACUCUGGGCUGCUUCCUGGACGUUCCAGGCUGUGCUCCCACUUUGGGAGCAGGACACGCUCAGGCCAGAGGCAAAGACCAUGCGAUCCACUUUCUCCCUCUGCUUCAAGGACAGGAAGCUGCGCCCCGGCAGCAUCAGGACACUUGUCUCUGGGCGAGAGAGCAUCAGACAUGGGACUCAGAACCAGGUCUCCAGAUUCCCCACCGUUCAUCUGGGCCGGGAAGAGAAAGAGAAAUCGAAGCCCCCAGCCCUUUGUCACACCAUGUCGCACCCAGGCCACGGCCACAGCCACAGCACACCUACAUCUGGUCUCCUUCACACUCCUUUUGUGAGCCCACUGAGCGCUGUUCCCGGCCGUCAACUGAUGCUCGCACGCAAGUGUCUGGCUAGAGCUGCGGGCGAUGUUUGUUUAAAAGCUAGGACAGCACGUGAGAAGCAGACCCUGCUCAGCGUGGCUCCCUUCACGCAAGUCAGCCACACGUUCUCCCUGCUAGUCGAUGCCUGCUUGGUUCUGGAGACCGAGGGCUUUUGGUGUGAACGUCAGGUGAGCGCUGCCCUGGGACAGUCCUGGGGGACAGCUGCUGACCUGCCUCUGAAAGUCAGGUCAGGUCCCUCAGGGCUGGCAUGAAUACAAGAAGUGGCAAUCUUGAGGCAGGUGGAUUCUUGAGUUGGAUUAGGAUGGGCACGGAGUUGCAGAGCCCAGUCUAAGCUGGAACAUCCUCUUCUGGCUUCAAAACCUUAUGUGUGGCAAGUCUUGGUCAUGAUUGAGUGACCCAGGCUGCUGGAAAUGCCACAUCAUUUUUCUAGUAACUGUGUUCUUUCUGUAGGACGGUCACUCUGAGGGUAGGGGUUUCUGGGAGGGGGCAUGUAAAGUCUCUGUGGUAUAAAGAAGCCUUUCUUCUGACGUGCGACUCGAAAAAUGAUCCCCCGUUGGGGAACGCCAUGACACUUCAUGUGUAACAUAUACAAACGUCCCCUGGCAACUGUAGUCUGGGGGAACCCGAUAUGGCCUGAGCCCUAGGUGUGCAGAGAGAUGGUAAGACUAGCAAUAUGUUGACCUCUUUCCAAGCCUCCUCCAGUUAAGAAAGGACUUAGGGACAAAAAUGAAAUAAUAAAGUUGGAAUCAUUGAAUACCAGCUCUAAGAACUUUAGUUUUCUCAGCUGUGACAUGAGACUUGAGUGAGCAUAUCCUUAGUAACCUAGUGAGGUCUUACCCACAGAGGUAAUAUCAAAGCCCAACCCUUUGGCCCUCAGUCAAAUGCCCACAAAGAAUCCUGGGGAAGUGAUUCUUGAGAAUGAAAUGUCUUUGUAUUCUUGUGGGAUGGUCAUGACUCGGGAAAGGUAUCACAGAAUUAGUCACAUAAGUAAAACAUGAAACUUUCAUUUUCUUGGAUCUGUUUUGUUGCUACUGCACCAAUUGGAGACAAUUGCCCCAGAUGCAAUCCCUUUGAGUAAAUGUCUUCCCCAGCGAUCAGGGUACAGGCGUUUUCUAAAGGUUGCAAAGGGCCUUAGAAUCAUGGGGAGUCAGUACUUGGGAGUGCCCACAAGACCACCUAGUCAAGUCUUGCCAUUUUGUUACAGGGGUUUGAGGCCCAGAGUGAAAAAGAGACUUAAGCACUUGAUCUGUGUCCAUUAGAUUCUCCUCUACAGAAAGGAGACAAGGAGUGGAGAGAAGAGUUUCCAGCUAUCACAGGCACUGGGGUUUGAAGGUCACACAGCCUUGAGAACAUGGGAGGCAGGUUUUGUUUGUUUGUUCACAUUUGCUGGGAUGAGUAAGCUGUUGAACACAUCAGUCUUCAGAGAGUGGGGAGUGGAACCAUUGAGCAGGGAGGGCUUUUCCUGCCCUGGCUUCCCUGCAACCCUUGAAACGCUACUUUAGUGGAAUGAACUAAGUUGGUUCAUUGACAUGCAGAAGAGCUGUGGCCAGAACAAGAGGUAUUGGGUGUGCAGAGGAACUGGACUAAGUGACCUCCAAGGGCCCUUCAGCUGGAGGCACUCUGAUGUCAGGAGUCUUGGGUUUCAGGGCUACUGGAGCUCCACUGAGAUUGUGGGUGGUCUCUGGGAAAGAGUCCCUGAGCUCCUUGGGGCUCAUAAUAUGGUCCACAGACAAAUAGCAUCAACAUCACCAGGGAGCUUGCUGGAGACGUGGAAC